GCUGAGUGUGGUGGCGCACACCUGUAGUCCCAGCUACUCAGGAGGCAGAGGCAGGAGGAUCACUUGAGCUCAGGAGGUCAAGGCUGCAGUUAGCUAUGAUCACACGACUGCACUCCAGCCUGGGUGACACAGUGACAUCUUGCAUCUU
rfam:Homo sapiens chromosome 19, GRCh38 reference primary assembly.